UGGUCAUUCCAAAGAAGGUUUGUGAGGCUGUGAAACCAAUGGCUCUUAACACACUGACCAAAUAUUAGAGUUCUCCAUAGGUUGCCAUAGUCACUCAAGAGUGCUAGUUUUCCUGAGGGAACCAUAAGA
rnacentral:snoRNA from 1 species